rnacentral:lncRNA from 1 species
GGAUAUAUUUCCAAUUAAAUAUACCUAAGUGACUGCCCACCUCUGCAACCCAAUGUCACAUUCGAGUCUUAUUGAACUACUUGACUGCAUUUCCCGAGAUCCCACCUCUUCUCGCCUGUACCCUGUGCGCGGAAAGUCAGCCCUCCACCUUCUCCCUGCUUCCACUCCCAAAAUACUUCGUGGUUUUGCAGCUCUGGAGUAUUUACCGUGUUGGCUGUUUAAAUUUCUGCCUCCAUCAGAAGGCAGAAACUGACUCGCGAACUAUUCCAUCCCCAGCCGAUAGUAGACGCUUAAAAAAGAACGAAAGAAGGUGGGUGGAGGACUUCAGUAACAUCAGGUGGCAAAACAGGCUAGCUUGUUCAAUAAAUGUGAGUUGAAUUAAA